rnacentral:rRNA from 1 species
CCGCCAGAGAACUACAAAUGAAAAAUUUUAAACUCAAAGGACUUGACGGUGUCCCACAUCAACCUAGAGGAGCCUGUCCUAUAAUCGAUACCCCUCGCUUUACCCAACCUUAACUAGCAUUUUCAGCCUAUAUACCGCCGUCGACAGCUUACCCCAUGAAGGUUAAAUAGUAAACAUAAUAGUCUACCACUUAUACGUCAGGUCAAGGUGUAGCAAAUGUUAAGGAAGAGAUUGGCUACAUUUUUUAUUUUAAAAAAUACGGAAAGUAUUAUGAAACAAUACAUGAAGGCGGAUUUAGAAGUAAAAU